rnacentral:rRNA from 1 species
UACACUCCUGCGGGAGGCAGCAGUGGGGAAUUUUGGACAAUGGGCGAAAGCCUGAUCCAGCCAUGCCGCGUGCAGGAUGAAGGCCUUCGGGUUGUAAACUGCUUUUGUACGGAACGAAACGGCCUUUUCUAAUAAAGAGGGCUAAUGACGGUACCGUAAGAAUAAGCACCGGCUAACUACGUGCCAGCAGCCGCGGUAAUACGUAGGGUGCAAGCGUUAAUCGGAAUUACUGGGCGUAAAGCGUGCGCAGGCGGUUAUGUAAGACAGUUGUGAAAUCCCCGGGCUCAACCUGGGAACUGCAUCUGUGACUGCAUAGCUAGAGUACGGUAGAGGGGGAUGGAAUUCCGCGUGUAGCAGUGAAAUGCGUAGAUAUGCGGAGGAACACCGAUGGCGAAGGCAAUCCCCUGGACCUGUACUGACGCUCAUGCACGAAAGCGUGGGGAGCAAACAGGAUUAGAAACCCCAGUAGUCCCAUG